rnacentral:rRNA from 1 species
GACGAACGCUGGCGGCGUGCUUAACACAUGCAAGUCGAACGGAAAGGCCCUUCGGGGUACUCGAGUGGCGAACGGGUGAGUAACACGUGGGUGAUCUGCCCUGCACUUUGGGAUAAGCCUGGGAAACUGGGUCUAAUACCGAAUAGGACCACGCGCUUCAUGGUGUGUGGUGGAAAGCUUUUGCGGUGUUGGAUGGGCCCGCGGCCUAUCAGCUUGUUGGUGGGGUAAUGGCCUACCAAGGCGACGACGGGUAGCCGGCCUGAGAGGGUGACCGGCCACACUGGGACUGAGAUACGGCCCAGACUCCUACGGGAGGCAGCAGUGGGGAAUAUUGCACAAUGGGCGCAAGCCUGAUGCAGCGACGCCGCGUGAGGGAUGACGGCCUUCGGGUUGUAAACCUCUUUCAAUAGGGACGAAGCGAAAGUGACGGUACCUAGAGAAGAAGCACCGGCCAACUACGUG